UACGGGGGGAGCAAGCGUUGUUCGGAUUUACUGGGCGUAAAGGGCGCGUAGGCGGUCAGUGCAAGUCAGUUGUGAAAUCUCCGGGCUUAACUCGGAAAGGUCAACUGAUACUGCUCGACUAGAGUGGCGGAAGGGGCAACUGGAAUUCUUGGUGUAGCGGUGAAAUGCGUAGAUAUCUGGAGGAACAUCGGUGGCGAAGGCGGCAUCCUGGACCGGCAUUGACGCUGAGGCGCGAAAGCCAGGGGGAGCAAACGGGG
rnacentral:rRNA from 1 species